rnacentral:misc_RNA from 1 species
AAACUGCGAUAAGUAGUGUGAAUUGCAUUUAGUGAAUCAUCGAAUCUUUGAACGCACCCUGCACUCACUGGUAUUCCGGUGAGUACGCCUGUUUCAGUAUCAUUGAAAACACACAAUCAAAACAUUUUCUUUGGUUUGAUUGGCUUUGGGUCUAUCAAAAAGUUUGGCUUGUUUCUUACAAGCCAAGCGGCCCGAAAUAUAUUGUCUGGCUAAUUGCAUCGUUGAUGAUCGCUAUUAGACUUUGGCUUUUUUAAAUGAACUGGAGGUUGAUUAACCAGUUUUAGCUUUAGUCAAAUGGUCAUUGUAAAAAAAAUCUCGAUCUUGGCUAGGUGUUUAUAGCCGAAAAUUUUUUUUUGGCUAUAACCGAAACCAAUAUAAUCACAUUUAGUUAUCGAUCUGAAAUCAGGUGGGACUACCCGCUGAACUUAAGC